rnacentral:tRNA from 1 species
GGGGCAGUGGUCUAGCUCGGUUAUGACAUUUACAAGCUCGAGCGGAGUAGGUCGGCGGUUCAAAUCCGCUCUGCCCCACCA